AUGAGUUUGACAAUGGGUUUGAUGCUGGCCUUCCGGGGCAUGUGCUCGCCCUUGCUCAUCCACAUACACCUGUGCACCUAUUGUGGUUCUUUGGUUUGAACAGGUUGGAUAACGACCUGGGAGGACACAAGUUCCAUGUUUUUAUACACUCUAUGUAUGUUCAGAAUGUCUACUUGCGAUAACACGCAUUUAAAUA
rnacentral:misc_RNA from 1 species